GGAGUUAGCCGGUGCUUCUUCUGCGAGUAACGUCACAGCUAGCAGGUAUUAACUACUAACCUUUCCUCCUCGCUGAAAGUGCUUUACAACCCGAAGGCCUUCUUCACACACGCGGCAUGGCUGCAUCAGGGUUUCCCCCAUUGUGCAAUAUUCCCCACUGCUGCCUCCCGUAGGAGUCUGGGCCGUGUCUCAGUCCCAGUGUGGCUGAUCAUCCUCUCAGACCAGCUAGGGAUCGUUGCCUAGGUGAGCCAUUACCUCACCUACUAGCUAAUCCCACCUGGGCUUAUCCAUCAGCGCAAGGACCGAAGUUCCCCUGCUUUCCCCCGUAGGGCGUAUGCGGUAUUAGCAGUCGUUUCCAACUGUUAUCCCCCACAAAUGGUCAAAUUCCCAGGCAUUACUCACCCGUCCGCCGCUCGUCAUCUUCAAAAGCAAGCUUUUGAAAUGUUACCGCUCGACUUGCAUGUGUUAGGCCUGCCGCCAGCGUUCAAUCUGAGCCAGAAUCAAACCUCUGA
rnacentral:rRNA from 1 species